UGGGGAAUUUUGGACAAUGGGCGAAAGCCUGAUCCAGCAAUGCCGCGUGUGUGAAGAAGGCCUUCGGGUUGUAAAGCACUUUUGUCCGGAAAGAAAUCCUCUGGGUUAAUACCUCGGGGGGAUGACGGUACCGGAAGAAUAAGCACCGGCUAACUACGUGCCAGCAGCCGCGGUAAUACGUAGGGUGCAAGCGUUAAUCGGAAUUACUGGGCGUAAAGCGUGCGCAGGCGGUUUGCUAAGACCGAUGUGAAAUCCCCGGGCUCAACCUGGGAACUGCAUUGGUGACUGGCAGGCUAGAGUAUGGCAGAGGGGGGUAGAAUUCCACGUGUAGCAGUGAAAUGCGUAGAGAUGUGGAGGAAUACCGAUGGCGAAGGCAGCCCCCUGGGCCAAAUACUGACGCUCAUGCACGAAAGCGUGGGGAGCAAACAGGAUUAGAUACCCUGGUAGUCCACGCCCUAAACGAUGUCAACUAGUUGUUGGGGACUUCAUUUCCUUAGUAACGUAGCUAACGCGUGAAGUUGACCGCCUGGGGAGUACGGUCGCAAGAUU
rnacentral:rRNA from 1 species